rnacentral:lncRNA from 1 species
GCUGGCUCUGAGAAGUAGGAGCCUUGUGCAAGGAUUCAGGAGAGGCCUCUAGAAACUGAGGAUGGCCCUCAACUGGCAAGCACAGGCAACUGAAUUCGGCCAGGCAUCUGGGUCCUGUGCUAGGGGCUAGGAAGACAAAGAGAAACAGAGUCACAUCCUCCCACAAAAAUCCAUGAGAUGUCGGAGAGCCGAACUUGUAAACAGCCAUCAUCAACACAAAGAAGGAUGCACUGAUGCUCUCUAGAGGCUCACAGGAAAUGAUUCAUGGGCAUAGAGCUUCUUUGCAUCCCUGGAGGAAUGAAUGACCUCCCCAUGUGCUGGGGUUGAAGUUAUGGUUGAUAACAGCAUACUGCAGAUUGACCACCCAGUGACACACUGUCAUCUCCUACAUGUCAGAGAGUCACUGCUCAUCUUUCCCCUUUGUCCGUUUGGAUUGGAGUGUCAAGCUCUGGCCUGGGCUUCAGAACUUCCAGGAUGGCAUGUGGCUCUCACAGAGAGUCUCCUCCAGCUCCCGUUCACCUUGGCUGGGGCUCUGGGCUCCUUCCUGAUCUUUCAGAUGCUCUAGGUCAUGCCGAUUAUAGCCUUACCUUGCACCCCACCAGACAGAAACAACUACCCCAGGGGCAAGCCAGGCUCGAAGGAUUUUGCUUCAAGAACC